rnacentral:lncRNA from 1 species
UUAGUCCAUAAAUGAGCGAGAACCACACGGGAACCACCAUAGUAGAGAAAGAGAAAUUGACGGACAAGAAAGACAUAAAGGGUCUAAUAAAGCCAAUUUCCAACUCACCAACCAUGAAAAGCUGUAAAUUAAAUUUCUGCACAUAACCAAUAGGCACGAAACGUAAAGCUCUUGCUUUAGUCUCCCACUUUAAUUUAUUGUGCAAAGUCGCAGUAGGUGCAAUGCUUGCUUUAUUGGGAGCGGAGAAAUUCCAAACCACUAGAGGAAGGCAAGCACAAACAAUUUAUCUAACAAACACAUCACAUCUCCUUUUCUUUUUCUUUUUGUUUUCCUUUCAUUUCUUUUUCUAUUCAUUAAUCACCAACAUUCAAAUUAAACCCAAGAAUACAGGGGGAAAAAACAGUUCCAAACAGUAACAUACGGUGCAGUGAACCGAAAUUAACAAGACAGUACGUAUAAGCCAAAACACAAAAUAAACAUCAAGACAAUCAUCUCUCAAGAACCGAUCCAAAAAAAAAAAAACAAAGAAGCUGCUACAUCGAUAAAACGAAAGCAACAAAGUCGGUCACGUGAGUAGUGAUCCAUGUCACCAUGCAACUUUGAUGAUGUAGCAGCCAAAAAUAUGCAGAAGGUUCGGUUCAUGUGAGAUAUUAAGUCUGAUGCGACCACAAAGUUGGUUGUUGAGGAUCUCGAGAACCUUCUGAUCUGCGGUUAGUAUUUGGUGGAGGAGAAGCGGGUGGUGAAGUGGUUGGUGCGUUUGGUGUGGCUGUUACUGCAGCUGAAGGAGGUAAUGUAGUGGUGGUGGUUCAGCUGCAUGCAUGAGGUUGUUCAGUGCAAGCUUGCCACGUUUCAGCAUGAGAUGGAACUACGCCAUUAUUUUGCUCUUGGCUAUGCCCUUUCUCAACAUGAAGAACAACAUGCGUACCAUGUUCCAUACCUUCUUUGCCACCACCAUCAGUAGUGCUUGUUUUCUUUGAGAAUCAGAAUUUGUAUGCAACGGGAGAGGGGGUUAGGACCUAUUUAAAGGAGUCUAUGCAAGUGCAACACGGUUCUAUUAUU